rnacentral:rRNA from 1 species
ACGGGGGGGGCAAGCGUUGUUCGGAAUUACUGGGCGUAAAGGGCUCGUAGGUGGCCAACUAAGUCAGACGUGAAAUCCCUCGGCUUAACCGGGGAACUGCGUCUGAUACUGGAUGGCUUGAGUACAGAUGAGGUAGGCGGAAUUGACGGUGUAGCGGUGAAAUGCUUAGAUAUGACAUAGAACACCAAUUGCGAAGGCAGCUUACUACACAACGAUUGACGCUGAGGCACGAAAGCGUGGGGAUCAAACAGGA